GUCAACUUGUUCUUGGAAGUUAUUUCGAAAAGUGUUAGAUAAUGCCUAAAAAAAAAAAUAGCUGGAAAAGGAACAAGUCCGAAACGGAAUUACACUUCAAAUUGAGAAUGUGAUACAGCGAGCCGCAACAAAAUUGAGCACAAAUUUAAAGAAGAAUAAAACAAAACGAUCGCAAAUAUAAAGAAGAAUGGGAUAAAAUCAGAUCAGGAUUACGCAGCCCGUAUAUCUUCCAAGCAAAAGACAGCAAAAACCAAAAUUACAACAUAUUUGAAACAUAGAAUUCGGGACACAAUUUAUUCUAUGUACGCCAGAAAAGAAUAUGUAAUUUUGGCAACAAGAGAAAAGUUCAGGGAAGAAAUUGAAUAUUUUGUUUCUGUGAUCUUUGAUUGUUUUCCAUUGACUCCUUAAGAAGAUGAAUCAAUAGUAUAGGCUUCAAGUGGAAAAAAUCAAAUAACAGAAAAUAUUUGAUGGACUUGCCAAAUAUUGUUCAUAAAAGAAUCAAUUUUUUAAGGGAGUAUAUCAAAAAUAGAAAUGUAGGUCCGGAAGGUUUUACUCCAGUUUUCGUUGACGAGACGUGGAUUUUUAGCAAGGGAUCAUUUCGUAGUAGCUGGCAAGAUGACACCAAGCACACGGAUUCAAGGAAAAACAGUGAAGGUCAUCGUUAUAUCGUGGUCCACGCCGGAACCAAAGAUGGCUUCAUCAAGGGUGCAAAUUUAAUAUUCAAGAGUGGAUUAAAGACGAGAGAUUAUCAUGACAAUAUGAACAGGAAAACUUCGAAAACUGGUUUAAAACUCAGCUGGUUCCAAAUCUUCCCCCAAAGUCAUUUAUAAUCAUGGACAAUGCAAGUUACCAUUCUGGUUUAUUAGAAGAAAUCCCGAGAAAAUCUUGGACAAAGCAGAGACUGACCGAAUGGUUGAAGAAAAAGAAUAUUGGCUUUCCAGAAAAAGCCAUGAAAAAUAAAAUAUGGAGUAUUGCACGCAGAAACUGCCCUAGUGAAAAAAAGUACUUCCUUGAUGAAUAUGUUAAACCUUUAGGACACAAAAUUUUGCGACUGCCACCAUAUCAUUGCCAGUUUAAUGCAAUUGAAAUGGUAUGGUCGGAAUGUAAACGAAAAUAUGAUCAAUAUAGUUCCAAUUUUAAGGGGUCACCUUCAGAAGUUCUGACUACAUGGGAAAGGGUAAUAAACGAAAUUUCUAUAGAUCAUUGGCAAAAAUAUGUUUUUCAUAUAGAAAAGGUAAUUGAAAAGGCUUGGGAGGCAAUAAAAGUGUGUGAUACCUAUGACAUUCUGCCACUUGUGAUUACGACUGACGAAGACGACGAUGACGAAGACAAUAUCUCUGAUUUCAGUUCUGACUCUGACAAUACUGACGAGAUUGAUUAAGCUUUUUUUGUUCUAGCAAAUUUUAUUUUAUGAUCGUCGUUUAAGUAUUCAAUCAUAUCGUUGCAAUUUCAUUAACUUGGUAAUGCAAUAUGACGUGUUUUUCUUGAGUUUGUAUGUUUUAUUUUUUGGAAUGGUAUUUUCAUUUUAAUGUGUUAACAUAUUCCUUCAAGCAGCAUUUUUUUUCAUGAACAAGUAAAUUAAAUUGUCAGUAUUUAAAUUUUUCCCAGUGAGUUAAAAUAAUUUUAUACCAUUAUUCACAAUUUUUGUAAGCUCGCUUUUAUUAAGUUUACUGCUCGUGCCGAAUUCUACUUUUCAAAUAUGUUGUAGAUUUGGUUUUUGCGGUCUUUUGCUUGGAAAAUAUAUGAGCAGCGUAAUCGUUGUUGUGCUCAAUUUUGUUGCAUCUGCGGCUCGCUCUAUCACAUUCUCAAUUUGAAGUGCAAUUCCGUUUUGAACUUGUUUUUUAUGUCGCAUUAUUUAUGAUUAAUUAUAAUAAUAUUUGUUAAUUGUUAAGUUUGUUAAUAAUACAAUA